AACGAACGCUGGCGGCAGGCUUAACACAUGCAAGUCGAGCGCCCCGCAAGGGGAGCGGCAGACGGGUGAGUAACGCGUGGGAGUCUACCCAUCUCUACGGAAUAACGCAUGGAAACGUGUGCUAAUACCGUAUACGUCCUUCGGGAGAAAGAUUUAUCGGAGAUGGAUGAGCCCGCGUUGGAUUAGCUAGUUGGUGGGGUAAAGGCCUACCAAGGCGACGAUCCAUAGCUGGUCUGAGAGGAUGAUCAGCCACACUGGGACUGAGACACGGCCCAGACUCCUACGGGAGGCGGCAGUGGGGAAUAUUGGACAAUGGGCGCAAGCCUGAUCCAGCCAUGCCGCGUGAGUGAUGAAGGCCCUAGGGUUGUAAAGCUCUUUCACCGGUGAAGAUAAUGACGGUAACCGGAGAAGAAGCCCCGGCUAACUUCGUGCCAGCCGCCGCGGUAAUAC
rnacentral:rRNA from 1 species